UUAAUUGGAUUCAACGCCGGACAUCUCACCAGGGGCGACAGNUGUAUGAUGGCCAGGUUGAUGACCUUGCUUGACAAGCUGAGAGGAGGUGCAUGNNCGCCGUCAGCUCGUACCGUUGAGGCGUCCUGUUAAGUCAGGCAACGAGCGAGACCCACGCCCUUAGUUACCAGCGAAACCCUUAUGGGUUGCCGGCACACUAAGGGNNCCNCCAGUNAUNAACUGGNGGAAGGAGUGNNCGACGGUAGGUCCGUAUNCCCCGAAUCCCCUGGCAACACGCGGGCUACAAUGGCCUGGACAAUGGGUUCCGACACUGAAAGGUGGAGGUAAUCCCCUAAACCAGGUCGUAGUUCGGAUCAGAGGGCUGUAACUCGCCCUCGUGAAGCUGGAAUGCGUAGUAAUCGCGUGUCAUUAUCGCGCGGUGAAUACNUCCCUGNUCCUUGCACACACCGCC
rnacentral:rRNA from 1 species